GAUGAACGCUAGCGGCAGGCCUAAUACAUGCAAGUCGAACGGUGUCUUCGGACAUAGUGGCGCACGGGUGCGUAACACGUAUGCAACCUACCUUACACUGGGGGAUAGCCUUUCGAAAGGGAGAUUAAUACCGCAUAAGACAGUAGCUGGGCAUGCAGCAGCUGUUAAAGAUUUAUCGAUGUAAGCUGGGCAUGCGUCCAAUUAGCUAGUUGGUGAGGUAACGGCUCACCAAGGCAAUGAUUGGUCGGGGAACUGAGAGGUCAAUCCCCCACACUGGCAGUGAGAUACGGGCCGGACUCCGACGGGAGGCAGCAGUAGGGAAUAUUGGGCAAUGGAGGCAAGUCUGACCCAGCCAUGCCGCGUGCAGGAUGAAGGCGUUAUGCGUUGUAAACUGCUUUUAUACAGGAAGAAACGACUCUUGCGAGAGGCAUUGACGGUACUGUAUGAAUAAGCACCGGCUAACUCCGUGCCAGCCGCCGCCGUAAGAC
rnacentral:rRNA from 1 species